rnacentral:lncRNA from 1 species
UGAAGAAGGCAGUUGGCUACUACUGUGGAAGUAUUUUAGUAACUGUGGAGCGUGGGAAAAUAUCCCUUUGUUGGCAGAGCAAUGAACUUGUCAUGUAAACUAACUGAUAUAUCCAAGGAAAGGGACAGUAUUUCCGGCUGUUUGUUCCUUUCUAUUGAUGGGUGUAGGAGCAACAGGAAUGGAAAUAACCCAAGGCAUCCUGUUCUCAAGGAGGUGGAGCAACCGACUUCUCCUUGGUGUAGUGAGGCUCAUCUGGAAUCCAGUAGAAUGAAUGACAGAUUUCUCCCGAGGGAAGUCCUUGCUGAUGGAUCUGCCUAUAGCUUUGGGUACUGUGAGGCUGAACUUACUAGCUGGAUUGCUGAAAUGGAUUGCCUUAAUUUCAUGGUGCCAAUGAAGCACAUCAAUGAAAACAGCCACAACUGAAUAACUGGGAGAUGACACAGGAAGCUACAUGUCACAGUUGAUCGAAAAUGACAUAGACACUGAAAAUCAGGACUUUCAGCCCAACUCUGAGCUCCCUCUUGAAUGCUGAUCAGGAGAAAUGCAAAUGGAAAAAAAAAAAAGAAAAAUGCAAAAAAGUUUGUCUCUGGGAUUGGGGCUAAUGAACUUAUGCUGUGAAGUAUAGGUUUUGAAUUGUUUCAGAGUUACUUAUGAUAUUAGCAUGAUAUCUUAGGCAGAGACUCUUCUGGUUGGAUUCAUUCAUCUGCCCAAAGCUAUUUAUCUUUGUCUUAAUUCUCUCUUCCAUGAUCAAAAGCAAAACUAAAGAAAAUGUCAGUCAUUUGUUUAUUCACUAUUUUUAGCACCAAGUUAACUGGAAAGACGGUGUAUUUCUUUCAAACCUCGUAAACCAUGUGGUAACCUCACAGAAGAUUAACCAGGACGACUAAAUUCUCUCAUUCUGCAGCUUUUGUUCUGGUUAUUUUUUUCUCAUAUACUUCACUAGAAAACAAGUAUUUAUAUCAUUGUACUCUGUCAUUUAAAAAAGGCAAUAAAAGGCCCUUUCUGACCCA